rnacentral:rRNA from 1 species
AUUGAACGCUGGCGGCAGGCUUAACACAUGCAAGUCGAGCGGGGGAAGGUAGCUUGCUACCGGACCUAGCGGCGGACGGAUGAGUAAUGCUUAGGAAUCUGCCUAUUAGUGGGGGACAACAUCUCGAAAGGGAUGCUAAUACCGCAUACGUCCUACGGGAGAAAGCAGGGGAUCUUCGGACCUUGCGCUAAUAGAUGAGCCUAAGUCGGAUUAGCUAGUUGGUGGGGUAAAGGCCUACCAAGGCGACGAUCUGUAGCGGGUCUGAGAGGAUGAGCCGCCACGCUGGGACUGAGACACGGCCCAGACUCCUACGGGAGGCAGCAGUGGGGAAUAUUGGACAAUGGGGGGAACCCUGAUCCAGCCAUGCCGCGUGUGUGAAGAAGGCCUUAUGGUUGUAAAGCACUUUAAGCGAGGAGGAGGCUACUCUAGUUAAUACCUAGGGAUAGUGGACGUUACUCGCAGAAUAAGCACCGGCUAACUCUGUGCCAGCCGCCGCCGUAA